AGAUUGAACGCUGGCGGCAGGCCUAACACAUGCAAGUCGAGCGGCAGCGGGAAGAUAGYUURCUAUCUUUGCCGGCGAGCGGCGGACGGGUGAGUAAUGCCUAGGGAUCUGCCCAGUCGAGGGGGAUAACAGUUGGAAACGACUGCUAAUACCGCAUACGCCCUAMGGGGGAAAGGAGGGGACCUUCGGGCCUUCCGCGAUUGGAUGAACCUAGGUGGGAUUAGCUAGUUGGUGAGGUAAUGGCUCACCAAGGCGACGAUCCCUAGCUGUUCUGAGAGGAUGAUCAGCCACACUGGGACUGAGACACGGCCCAGACUCCUACGGGAGGCAGCAGUGGGGAAUAUUGCACAAUGGGGGAAACCCUGAUGCAGCCAUGCCGCGUGUGUGAAGAAGGCCUUCGGGUUGUAAAGCACUUUCAGUAGGGAGGAAAGGUARUAACUUAAUACGUUAUUACUGUGACGUUACCUACAGAAGAAGGACC
rnacentral:rRNA from 1 species